rnacentral:lncRNA from 1 species
CUACAGUGCAUAUACGAUAUCUCACGCUCCAAAGGUUCGAUUCGACGAUCCGACGGUUAACAGAGACAACCCAAGGGAAAAUGAAAAUGACAUAGAAUUAGGAUUCACAAGGUGAAACCAGGGAUAAAAUAGAGAAGGAUGUAUAGAAAGACUUACAUGAAAUAUAGAAGAAAAUAGAUGGUAUAUAGAUACUUGAGAGACUUAAAAUAUUUUCAAUGGACUAUAGAUGAUGAUCGUGAGACUUGAAAAAUCAAGAGAAUGGUGUGAGAGUCUCAAAAUUUGCGUGAGGCUUCUAAUAGAGAUUUUUGAUGUUUUCCUCAAUAUAUGUGGCUGAGCAAUGAACUAAUAAAAUGGUCUAGAUUAAAUAGAAUAAUG